UGUUCGAGUGUAGUUUACAACUUUGCUGCUCUGGAAGGGGCCUGGUUUAACUUAAAGUAUCAUGGCAAAGCAUCAGAAGUGGUAGAGCAGACUGUUCUUCAAGAGAAGGCAGCCCAGGAAUUAAUAACAACAGAAAGGUGCAGUCAGUCCUUGAGCACAGCCACACCCACCAGGCAGAGAGGCAAAACAGAAAUAACAUAAUUAUGGUAAACACUGAAACUGCAGGGCUGUGUGGAGGGAACCUUACAAGACAAGGGUCUGUCACCUGAAAGUACUCUGCACUCCACGAUUCUACCUUACUAUCCUCCUUCCACUUUAUUUGGACUGCUGUAUUUUCUGUAGUUAUCAAAGAUUUGGAGCCCUGGACCUGACACUUGCACAAUGCAAG
rnacentral:lncRNA from 12 species